rnacentral:rRNA from 1 species
UGCGCCUUGCCAGCCCGCUCAGAAACGUAAAGGAAUUGACGGGACCCCGCACAAGCGGUGGAUCAUGUUGUUUAAUUCGAUGAUACGCGAAGAACCUUACCAGGUCUUGACAUCCCCCGCGAUGCUUUAGAGAUAAAGCGGAGGUAUUCGGGGAGACAGGUGGUGCAUGGUUGUCGUCAGCUCGUGUCGUGAGAUGUUGGGUUAAGUCCCGCAACGAGCGCAACCCCUAUUGCUAGUUACCAUCAUUAAGUUGGGGACUCUAGCGAGACUGCCAGUGAUAAACUGGAGGAAGGUGGGGAUGACGUCAAAUCAUCAUGCCCCUUAUGACCUGGGCUACAAACGUGAUACAAUGGCUGGAACAAAGGGAUGCGAAGCAGUGAUGUGGAGCGAAACCCAUAAAAACAGUCUCAGUUCGGAUUGAAGUCUGCAACUCGACUUCAUGAAGUCGGAAUCGCUAGUAAUCGCGGAUCAGAACGCCGCGGUGAAUACGUUCUCGGGGUUU